rnacentral:rRNA from 1 species
AGAGUUUGAUCCUGGCUCAGAACGAACGCUGGCGGCGUGCUUAACACAUGCAAGUCGAGUGCGCGCCUGUAGCAAUACAGGUGGCGCACGGCGCACGGGUGCGUAACACGUGGGUAAUCUGCCCUCUGAUGGGGAAUAACUCGCCGAAAGGCGAGCUAAUUCCGCAUAACAUUCCGGGAACCUUGGUUCUUGGACUCAAAGGCGUAAGUCGUCGGAGGAGGAGCCCGCGCACGAUUAGCUAGUUGGUGAGGUAAUGGCUCACCAAGGCUAUGAUCGUUAGCUGGUCUGAGAGGAUGGCCAGCCACACUGGAACUGAGACACGGUCCAGACUCCUACGGGAGGCAGCAGUGGGGAAUCUUGCACAAUGGGCGAAAGCCUGAUGCAGCGACGCCGCGUGGGGGAUGAAGCUUCUCGGAGUGUAAACCCCUUUCGACCCGGACGAAUACCUCGCAAGAGGGGUGACGGUACGGGUAUAGAAGCCCCU